AUGGAUUUGGGGCAGCUGCAGAGGGAGCCACAGAGUGAAGGGGCAGGGGAGCAGGUGGGGCAGGAGGGUCUUGAGGGGAUAGGGAGAGUUUGAGGGCUUCAGGGUGGACCGUGGUUUCUAGUGGUUUCUAGGAGAGGUAGGGGGUCCAGGUGGAGAGCCGGCGGGGAGUGGCAUCCCAUGCAACAGUAGCAGCGCCCAGAGGCCCCACGUCCCCAGGCCCCACAUGUGCACAGCCCCAGGUGCCGAGAGCAGCGUGCGUGUGCACCUGCAGGUGUAAAGAGCACCUGGCCACACACCUGUGAAGAGCCCGCCUUUUGUCCUUCCCACACAGGAAUGGCAGGCUCCCAGCUGCCCCCGCCACUUCUGCUGCUGGCUCUGGUGCUGCUGCUGGGGAAUUUCUCUUCACAGACACCUCCAGAGCAGACUCAAUGGAGCGGCGCCCCUAGUUCAGGGGAAGACUCCAUGAUCUCCCAUAGGUCUUCAAGUUCAGAGGCAAACCCCACCAUCCAGCCCAGCUCCAGCUCCACAAGUCCAGGGUUGGCGCCCACCUUCCCACAACCAGAAACAGUCACCCCCUCCCAGUUCUGGCUCCCCCAGUUCAGAGCUCACCACUACCUCCCACUCCGCAAAUUCCACCACCUUGACCCUGCAUUGGAGCUCCUCUUCUCCCAGCCCCAGAACAGAGCCCCCCUCCAUGCCCUCCAACACCACUGAUGGGACCUCUGUGGCCACUGGCCCUGGGAGCUGCGAGCCAAAGCUCAUCUUUUGCCCAUCACCCACCAGAGUGAUCUCCAUGGGGCUGAGAAGGAGGGGCGCUUGGAUGGAGCAGGCGCACCUGGGAGGGGCUAGCCUUGCCAGAAUAAAGCCCUUACUGUUCCUCUGUGGCCUCCUGAGUCAUGGACUCCUGUGACAAACAUCUAUGUGCUGGGGUCAGAGUGGGGACCAUUUCUCUACCCUCAUGGGGCCCAUAGUCUCAAAGGUGGGGACAGACGAUAGCCAGGGGCUCAAAUGACAUCAUUUCAGAUGGCACAGAGGGUCAUGGAGUCACAGAUUGGGGCUGUGGCCGCAUCCCAAGGGCCUAUGUGUGCAGGUUUUUUGAGAGGGUGGAGAGGGCUUGAUAUUUCAACCAAGACCUGAGAGGUGGGAAGGACCCUCCUUGGAGAAAGUUGAGAGAACGGGCGUCCCAGGAAGCAGGCACAGCAAGCACAAAGGCCCUGUGGUAGGAAGAACUUGAAAUAUUUGGGAAACGACAAAGAAGUGAGUGGAGUCAGAGUAGGGUGAGGGAGAGGUGAGUGGGGCACUGCACUGGCUAGGGGUUUUAGCCCAAACAUCACCAGCCAGUAAGUUCCACAAUCUGGUAGGUCUUCCUUCAAGUCUUUGGGAGGGCAGAUCGGCAGGGGGAGAAGGCUUUCCUGGGGCAGGAACAACCUGUGCAAAGGCUUGGAGGCAGGAAGGCACCAGAAGCAGGCUGAGAAUGGGGAGUCCAAAUGGCUCCCCCACCUGAUUGUCUCAGUUCUGUUUCCUUGGGUCUGAGCCCGGGGCCCCCACUUUCUCCCCUCCCAUUGCAUAGGAGGGAAAAUAGCGCAAGGAGGGGCAGGCCUGGGCUUAGGGACCUUUGGUGGGUUAGUGGGUUCCUCCUGCUUCCCACCGACCCCGUCCCCAGGAUCUUCCAGGCUUCUCUACCAGAGUGGGGACGAGGAGGCUCCAGGUUGUGCCUUGGCUGGGACUCUGGCGGGAGCUGUCCCCUCAAGGCUGGGCUUAUCCUUCUAUGAAAUGGGUGGU
rnacentral:lncRNA from 1 species